GCACUGGCGGCACUGCCUCUCGGUGGUGUCACUGCCAAUGCUGAUUCACUGUCUUUCGACUGAGACGUGGAAUAGUCCAUGGACUAUCCUUUAUUAUUGCCAAUAUGACUUUCUCUAACAUCGCUGUCAUCAUUAAUGUCACUGUCUCUCACUGAUAUUAAUGUCGCUAUUAAGGCACUAUUUUUUGUUGUCAUUACCACGGUUACUGUUUUCCGUGUCUCAGUUAUAACAGUGAUUAGGAGUAAAUGUCACUGGGGUGUUCACCUACAAGUGGAUCACGACUUUCUGGCAGCGUGAGCGUCGGCGGCACGAGAAGAGGAAGUUAAAGCUGGAGAGGCACAAGAAACGCUGAAGUGUGUCUGCCUUUCCUCGUCUGCUGUGCGUCUGCUCGUCUGCCAGGACUGACUGACUGACUGACUGUUUGACUGCCGCGAAGGAACUGGUGCAUCGACAGUCUUGUUUUGGGGUCCCGGGUCGUUCGUUAGCUAGUAUAAGGAUGGCCGACUGGGUACUGAGAGUGAAGGUACUCGUAACGUUGCGUACGACCAGUUUCGCGUGGAGAUAACACACCCACUCUUGAGUCGUGUGGCUGUUUUAUCUGCGAGGUACGACCACCCCGGCGUUCAGAGGUAGUCCCUGUGUUAAGAACGACGUUUCAUAGUCUGGGCUUUGCGUGUGAUGUGUAAGGAACGACUACUGACUACCCAGUGGGAGGUAAUACGUACAUCUUCUGCCAAGUAAAUGUUCUCGUGAGGUACGACCACUAGAAAAGAGGGUCGUGUGGAGUACGACCCUAUUGGUGAUCUGUGUACACUAUGUUGAGGAAAAUAAAUCUGUAUUAGGAA